CCAAUAGCGUAUAUUAAAGUUGCUGCAGUUAAAAAGCUCGUAGUUGAAUUUCGGGACCAAUAUGUCGGUCGUGCCUCGGUACGUACUGGCAUCGUUGGUUUCUCCCUUCUGACGAACCAUGAUGUCAUUUAUUUGGUGUCGUGGGGAAUCAGGACUGUUACUUUGAAAAAAUUAGAGUGUUUAAAGCAGGCUCACGCUUGAAUACAUUAGCAUGGAAUAAUGAAAUAGGACGUUUGAUUCUAUUUUGUUGGUUUCUAGGAUCGACGUAAUGAUUAAUAGGGAUAGUUGGGGGCAUUAGUAUUCAAUUGUCAGAGGUGAAAUUCUUGGAUUUAUUGAAGACUAACUACUGCGAAAGCAUUUGCCAAGGAUGUUUUCAUUAAUCAAGAACGAAAGUUAGGGGAUCGAAGACGAUCAGAUACCGUCGUAGUCUUAACCAUAAACUAUGCCGACUAGGGAUCGGUUGAUGUUAAUUUUUUAAUGACUCAUUCGGCGCCUUACG
rnacentral:rRNA from 1 species